GGACGGGUGAGUAAUGUCUGGGAAACUGCCCGGUGGAGGGGGAUAACUACUGGAAACGGUAGCUAAUAACGCAUAACGUCUUCGGACCAAAGUGGGGGAUCUUCGGGCCUCUUGCCAUCAGAUGUGCCCAGAUGGGAUUAGCUAGUAGGUGGGGUAACGGCUCACCUAGGCGACGAUCCCUAGCUGGUCUGAGAGGGUGAUCGGCCACACUGGAACUGAGACACGGUCCAGACUCCUACGGGAGGCAGCA
rnacentral:rRNA from 1 species